rnacentral:rRNA from 1 species
UGAACGCUGGCGGCGUGCCUAACACAUGCAAGUCGUACGAGAAAUCCCGAGCUUGCUUGGGAGAGUAAAGUGGCGCACGGGUGAGUAACGCGUGGGUAACCCACCCUCGAAUCUGGGAUAACUCCGCGAAAGCGGUGCUAAUACCGGAUAAGACCACAUUCCGUUCGCGGAAAGAGGUAAAAGCUGACCUCUCCAUGGAAGUUAGCGUUUGAGGACGGGCCCGCGUCCUAUCAGCUUGUUGGUGGGGUAAUGGCCUACCAAGGCAGCGACGGGUAGCUGGUCUGAGAGGAUGAUCAGCCACACUGGAACUGAGACACGGUCCAGACUCCUACGGGAGGCAGCAGUCGGGAAUUUUUGGGCAAUGGGCGAAAGCCUGACCCAGCGAUGCCGCGUGUGUGAAGAAGGCCUUCGGGUUGUAAAGCACUUUCAGCAGCGAAGAAAUGUCGGGGGCCAAUACCCCCUGGCUUUGACGUUAACUGCAGAAGAAGUACCGGCUAACUCCGUG